rnacentral:lncRNA from 1 species
GCGAGACUCCGUCUCAAAAAAAAAAAAAGAAACGCUGUUGGGGGCAGGAGCCUGGAUCUCAACCCCUGCAAGGUGGAAAUCUGGCUUCCUCUCACCCAUACGAGCCUGCCAGAGGCAGGAGGCUGACGCCCCGGAGGGACCAGCUGACAUCGGCCUUGAGGGACCAGACUUCUCCAGGCCGGCAACCUUCUCCCAGCUUUGUGAGGUGGAGCCCAACCUCCAGACCAAGAGAGGCCUUCCUGACCUUCAACCCCAUCUCCAGAGCUCCCCAGAGCUGGUCUAGCCCCUCAUCUGACACACAGAGAAACGGAGACCAGGAACCUGACGCUGGUUUCCCUAGCCCAUGUGAGGACCCUGUAGACCAGCUACAUGCACACCCAGUCCAGCCGCCGGACAGCGUUCAGUGGGAAGAGAGCAGACCAUCGUCCACCCACAUUCCAGACUCCAACUGGCAGAGGGGAGGGGACGUUGGGGCUGCAGGGCCACCAAUGUGGACGGGACAGAGCCCCAGGGACAGCCUGUGCUGGGGACGUAUGGGGGCAGGAUCAGACCCCACAGUGCCUGCGGGCCACAAGGCCAAGACAGGAUCUGGUAAGUGACGAUUUGGAGGCUGGUCCUGAGGUGCAAGAGGGAGUGCCAGGGACAGAGAGGGCACCGGGGUGACUACAGUCCCUCCAGACUCACAUCUACCCGCACCUGUGGGUGGGGCCUUAUUUGCAUACAGGGUCUUUGCACACGUGGUUGGUUACAAUGAGGAUGCUGGAGGGGGUGGUCUGUGUCCCUGUUAACAACUCAUGUCCUUAAGAGAAAAGAGGAACGUGGACACCCACACAUCGGGAGACGGCCGCAUGGAGACGGAGCAGAGGCUGGAGUGACGCGGCCGCAGACCAAGGGCGCCUGGAGCCCCGGAAGCUGGGAGGGGCAGGAAGGGUCCUCCCCUGGAGCUACUCCUUGACCUCAGCUUCCUGUGGCCUCCAGGACAGGGACAGGCUGCUCUAAGCCACCCAGUUUGCAGCACUGCUGCGGCCGCCACGAGAAGCUCGUCCAGGGAGGAGGCUGCUCCAGCCCUGAGCCCCACGCGACUCCCGUGAGCACGAGGACUCGGGUGCCCUGGGGGAAAGGUGUACUGGCCAGACUCAGCGCCCUGAGGACGGGGUCGGAACCCAGCGCCCAGGAAGCUCCCCUCCCCCCGACCAAGGACCUCCCUCCAGGGUGUGCCCGGAGGAGGUCAAGACUCCACUGCCCUGAAGCAAACAAGGCGUCCAGCCCGAGCCAGGGUCACACGCCCAACAGGUAGGAUCCAGCAACCCCUGCGCAGCAGCCCCCGCCAUGCGAGGGAGGACCCGGAGUUGAGCGUGGCCCUGCCUGACAUCUGACCCCGCCGUCAGGAGCUCCACCAGGUCAGGGCUGCUCAGCUGACCCCACAGCCCCACCAGGCAUGGUCAGCACGGUGCCGAAUGCAGGCCUGGAAAGGGAAUAAAGGAGGCCCUGGGGAGGGGCCUUGGUGCUUCAUCCCAAGCCAACCCCGAAAGUGGAAGCCACAGGGCCAGGGGGACGUCGUGGCUGAGAUGCGAGCAGGGUGCCGGGCACCCCCAAGGCAGCACUGCUGUCCCUGAGAACAGAAGGAAGUCCAGGCCCAGAGUCAGAGCCAAGUGGAGUAGUGGUGGUUGCUGGCACUCAGUCCCGUACCCUUGGACAGAGCAAGAGUCCCAAGCCAGGAAUGUGAGGCCGAUGCCUUUUAGGAAGAAACCACAUCUGGGGAACCAGACCCCAGAUCCCAGAACCCAGACCUCAGAUCCCAGAUCCCAGAUCUCAGACCCCAGAUCCCAGACUUCAGAUC